rnacentral:rRNA from 1 species
UACGUAGGGGGCAAGCGUUGUCCGGAAUCAUUGGGCGUAAAGCGCGUGUAGGCGGUCCGGUAAGUCCGCUGUGAAAGUCGGGGGCUCAACCCUGGAAAGCCGGUGGAUACUGUCGGACUAGAGUGCGGAAGAGGCGAGUGGAAUUCCCGGUGUAGCGGUGAAAUGCGCAGAUAUCGGGAGGAACACCAAUUGCGAAGGCAGCUCGCUGGGACGUGACUGACGCUGAGACGCGAAAGCGUGGGGAGCAAACAGG